AACGAACGCUGGCGGCAUGCCUAACACAUGCAAGUCGAACGAGACCUUCGGGUCUAGUGGCGCACGGGUGCGUAACGCGUGGGAACCUGCCCUUAGGUUCGGAAUAACUCCCCGAAAGGGGUGCUAAUACCGGAUAAUGUCUUCGGACCAAAGAUUUAUCGCCUUUGGAUGGGCCCGCGUUGGAUUAGCUAGUUGGUAGGGUAAAAGCCUACCAAGGCGACGAUCCAUAGCUGGUCUGAGAGGAUGAUCAGCCACACUGGGACUGGGACACGGCCCAGACUCCUACGGGAGGCAGCAGUGGGGAAUAUUGGAAAAUGGGCGAAAGCCUGAUCCAGCAAUGCCGCGUGAGUGAUGAAGGCCUUAGGGUUGUAAAGCGCUUUUACCCGGGAUGAUAAUGACAGUACCGGGAGAAUAAGCACCGGCUAACUCCGUG
rnacentral:rRNA from 1 species